rnacentral:lncRNA from 1 species
AUUGCCAACCAGCUGCCAGCGAGGCUACACCCUGCCAUGUAUUUCAGGUCUUGGCAGUAUGCGUCCAGCAAAAUGACAGAAAAGAGGAGGAUGGCCAGCUGUUCCAGAUUUGUGGAUUACCAAACCUUCACAGCAGAAACUGUAUUUUGCUUCAGUAGCAGAAAAGGCCCAUUUUAAACUCCCGGCAAGUUUCUUCCUUGCUUAAUCAAAAACAAAUUGCGACUAAUUCCACCAGCAGCAAUGGCAAUAUGCCUCAAGGACCAGGCAGCUUCUACUUACUGUAUAUAUGGAGUCCUAUUACCUUGUAGGACUACUUCUUGAAAACAGCUAGGAAGAUUAAACCAGGCUUUUUGGAUGGACAUCUUGUUGCACUGACUUAGUAUAUUACUUGCUUAGCUACAGCCAUGCAGAAGACUGCACAGUAGCAAGCCAAAGAAGCAAGCAAGUAUUUUCCUGUUGACCACAGAAGGCACAAGGAAGCAGAAAUGGCUUCCAGCCACCUUGGUAGCUUGUGGAGUUCAGGUUACUGCAAGGACUGAAGACAUCCACUGGAAGAAAGAAACUCUUCAGGGCUCUCUGAUGCACAGCAGCAGCCUCCCGGGAGAAUCGCCUGCAAUGUGGGACAAAAUACAGGAAAACAAUUGAGGAAAUGGUCAGUGAUAAGGGGAAGAGGUAGACUGACUUGAUGGUUCUUAUCUUAGUGGCUUGGUGUACCUGCACUAAUCCUGGAUGAAUCAACAUGGUUAGUCCAUUGCAGUCAAUCUCCCUGGAGUUUUUCAUACCCAAAGAAGCUCAGCAUUGUUCUGUGCAGGACAUGUUGGGAGACAGGAUGGAGAAGAAGAGCCAGCAUCACUAUGCCUGCAUCUCUGUUGUGAAACAAUGCUUGUUUUCGUCAGUGGUGCUCCAGAGAACGCAGACACCUUUUCUUCCAACACUGUUUCCUGCAGUGGUGCUCCGGCAAGAUCAUUGUGGCCUAGGGCUACAACCUGAGCACUGCUUGAUCUGGGGCUUCCUCCAUGACAUAUAAAAUAGGGCUUGAGCUCCAGCCAAGUGGUGUCAGUGGUGAGGGUGCAGCCUCGUCAGCCUGUUAUGGCUUGUGACUCCCGGCAGCUCUGGUGCAAGAUGGGUAAUCGCACCAACAGACAGGUAAAUAAGCAGGGUCAUGCUACCUGGAUCCCACCUACGUGGGGGAAUAGCUUGCCCAGGAGUUGCUUCCUGCUGAGAGGAAGUGAAGGAAAGACUGCUAACCAAUCCCAUCCCACAAAUCUGGCAGUAGCAGAAGUGUGGUGCUGUGUUGGCCACGCUGUGGGAAGAUGGCUGUGUGCGAGCCCAGGCCUGCAUGGAGAGUGGCGUGUGUGCUGCUGUGCACGUACUGAGCCAGCUAUCCCAGAUAGCUUGGAUAGGUGGGAGAUACGGCCCAAACCCUUCAUAAACCAGACCCUCUGCAGAAGGACCUGGGAAGGUGAAGACAUGUUAAGAAGUAGAAGCCUUGACUGGACUUUCUGUCAUAUCCUUUGUCAUCUCCCAAGUAACAAGUGAUAGGAUAAGAGGAAAUGGCCUCAAGUUGUUCCAGGAGAGGUUUAGAUUGGAUAUUGGGAAAAAUAUCUUCAUCAGAAGGGUUGUCAAGCACCGGAACAGGCUGCCCACGGAAGUGAUGGAGUCACCAUCCCUGGAGUUAUUUAAAAGAUAUGUAGAUGUGGCACUUAGGCACAUGGUUUAGUGGCACUUUGACAGUGUUGGAUUAAUGGUUGGAAUUGAUGAUUUUAAAGGUGUUUCCCAACCUAAA